ACACUUUUAGGAUAUUUAAAUCUUUAUAUCUUUUAAAUAUAAGAAGCUUUAGCAAUGUGUU
rnacentral:tRNA from 1 species